AUGACGUCGCAAACCAACAACAACAAAGAUGGAGGCACGUUACCUCGGCGGUCAGCUAGCUAUUCCAGCGCCGCCGACCACCAACCGGUCCCAGACAUGAGCUCUCUAAGCUACUUCACCCCGGCCCGAGAAGAAGAGCUGCUGUGGUCGGGAAACGCAGGCGCAGCCACCGGACCUCAACCCAGCACCCUCGGAGGAGAGGAGGCACGGCGCUUCUAUCAAAGCCUCAUAGAAGAAGGGGAUGGAGAGGAGAGACGAGGAAUGGAGCAGAGGGGGAGAGAGAACCGCAGGGGGAGAAGAGCGGGGCAGCACGUCCAGGUACCACAAACGCAACAAAUAUAGCCUAGUAGCUACAUCAUCUAUGAUCAUGACAUGUAUGAUUUAAAAAAUAAAGUAUUUCCUCAGUAUAUAUACACAGUACCAGUCAAAAGUUGACACCUACUCAUUCCAGGGUUUUUCUUAAUUUGUACUAUCUUCUACAUUGUAUAAUACUAUUGAAGACAUCAACACUAUGAAAUAACACAUUUGGAAUCAUGUAGUAACCAAAAAAAGUGAUAAACAAAUCAAAAUAUAUUUUAUGUUUGAGUUUCUUCAAAGUAGCCACUCUUUGCCAUGACAGCUUUGCACACUCUAGAUGCACCAGUGAAGCAUCUGCUGAUUGACCAACAUGUAACUAAAGUACAUGUAUUCUUUCCCACNNNNNNNNNNGCGUGUAAUUGGCAUGAUGACACUGCAGGAAUGUCCACCAGAGCUGUUGCCAGAGAAUGUAGUAUUCAUUUAUCUGCCAUUAAGCCGAUGCCGAUGCCGUUUUAGAGAAUUUGGCAGUACAUCAAACCGGCCUCACACCCGUAGACCACGUGUAACCACGCCAGCACAGGAUCUCCACAUACGGCUUCUUCACCUGCGGGAUCGUCUGAGACCAGCCACCCAGACAGCUGAUGAAACAGAGGAGUAUUUCUGUCUAUAAUAAAGCCCUUUUUGGGGGAAAAACUCAUUCUGAUUGGAUUGGCCUGGUUGCCCAAUGGGUGGGCCUAUGCCCGUCAUGUGAAAUCCAUAGAUUAGGGCCUAAUUAAUUUAUUUAAAUUGACUGAUUUCCUUACAUGAACUGUAACUCAGUUUAAUCGUCG
rnacentral:lncRNA from 13 species